UUCCUUGUAUAGUGCCGGAUGGAGAAUCGCCCCAAUGGUAUGCCGCCACUAAUCUUUAUUACAUACAUUAUGUUUUACUCUUAAAAAUUCCUCCCAGCCUUGUAUAUGGCUGCGAAGGACCACAUUGGCUAAUUGGUUAGAUCCUAUGAGCAAUAGUGAUAUGGGCACUGGGACCAUCCUGGCUGCUUUGAGUCAAAUUACCCAAGGAGCCUCUUCAGGCAGUGGAGACACGUCAGUCAAUAAUUCUGCUGAUUUGAACAUUACAACUUUGAUUAUGAUGCAUAAUUGUAGUUUUCCAUCACGUCCAGGGCAACGCAAUCACACACUGGAUAACUCUACCUGUCAUAGAGUCUUACCUGCUUACCCCCCAUAUCAAGAGUUUCCACCCCAUGUCAGAGUCCAUUCCAUAGAGAAAAACAAUUCCUACCGGGAUUUGAGUUUUCCCCUCCUCUUGACUAGGUACAGUAUGAUUGGGGGAAAAAUAAGACUGGCAAGCAAAAUUUUUGGCCUUGGUGUCAAUGGGUAUUAUCAAAUGAACAGGGAGCAUACACAUCUCUAAUUCCUUUUACCCAAUUAUUAGGUGAAGACUUUACAUUGUAUAUAUUUCAGCCACUAGAACGAAUAACAAAACCAGUUUAGUAAAUGUAAAGAUUAAUGGCCUUUUGGCAAAUGAUACUGCCAUUGGAGCUUCAGUGUGUGUUAGACCACCUUUCUUCUUUCUGAUA
rnacentral:lncRNA from 1 species